CCUACGGGCGGCUGCAGUGGGGAAUAUUGCACAAUGGGCGCAAGCCUGAUGCAGCCAUGCCGCGUGUGUGAAGAAGGCCUUCGGGUUGUAAAGCACUUUCAGCGGGGAGGAAGGCGGUGAGGUUAAUAACCUCAUCGAUUGACGUUACCCGCAGAAGAAGCACCGGCUAACUCCGUGCCAGCAGCCGAGGUAAUACGGGGGGUGCAAGCGUUAAUCGGAAUUACUGGGCGUAAAGCGCACGCAGGCGGUCUGUCAAGUCGGAUGUGAAAUCCCCGGGCUCAACCUGGGAACUGCAUUCGAAACUGGCAGGCUAGAGUCUUGUAGAGGGGGGUAGAAUUCCAGGUGUAGCGGUGAAAUGCGUAGAGAUCUGGAGGAAUACCGGUGGCGAAGGCGGCCCCCUGGACAAAGACUGACGCUCAGGUGCGAAAGCGUGGGGAGCAAACAGGAUUAGAACCCCUGUAGUC
rnacentral:rRNA from 1 species